UGCAGACAUUUGAAAGCGUAAAGGGAGGGUGGAGGAUGUCUUUUUUUCUCUCUCUCUCCCUCCUCUCUCUCUCUCUCUCUCCUCUCUCUCUCUCUCUCUCUCUUUCCCUCUCCUGAAUUAUUCAUAGUGUCAGUGGUGAAGCCAGGACUAUUAGCAUGCAUCAGACAUGCUGUUUGUCUGUUUGCUAACAUUCUUCAUUCAAGACUUGUUAACUACCAGACAAGCUUAACACGCUUCUCUUUUUUCCCCUCCCCUUCCCUCUCCCUGUGUCUCUGUCUCUGCGCGCCUGCCUCCCCUCAUUUCUGCCUUCCCUUGCCUUGCCUUUCAUGCCACCCCUCUCAGCCUCCCAUUGUUGUUGCCGAGAGCUGGCAGCCAGGGGUGGCGGUGGCAGGGGAAGCAUGCGGACGAGGAGCCGGAGCCCGGUUGCUAGCAUACUAGCCUGGAUGCAAUCUCCCUGUAAGGAGUGUGAAAUGUACAGCUGCAAAACUACAGUUUUAAGCAAAAAAAAAGCUCUUCCUCAUCUGAACCAUCAUUCAAAACACAAGAUGAAAGUAGCUGAAGAAAAGUUGUUUAUGAUAUCAUCUGCAGGACUCCUAGAAAAUUCUUUGGAAACUUGGGCAUGUCUGUCUCAGGCUGCCCCUAAAAGAAAUGAAGUAUUAAUCUGGCAAGAUGAAAUCAAGAUGCACAAAGAGAAGAUAUUAGAGACUAUUCUGCAAGGUGUUCAGAUUCACUGAUAACAUGCAAACUGGAGUCUGCUUGCCGUUGUCUGUUUGAGAUAUGACAUCACAGCUAACAAGGGAGACUAAGAAGUAAUGUGACUCCAGACAAGUAUUUUGGGUAGAUCACUUGUGUCAGCUGAGAAGUUGAAAAAUGAUUUUUCACUUGGAACAGAGAUUUGUUACUGCUCCUUUGUAGUUAAGGCAUGCUUUAGGAAGCACUGAGUAAAAAAUUAGUGGGUUGUUUGCAUUUUGGAAAAUGUUCAUACUUUCAGAAGGCAAGGGAAUCAAAACCAGCACAUUCCUGGAGGGUACAUUUAGUUAGGACAUGCUGGUAUAGGCUAAACUUUUGGAAAGCUUUGCAGUCCAUCAGCAUUGCGUUCUAGUUUUGGUGGAGUGUAACACACUGCUCUUUGUAACUGUGCAGCUUCCACAUUCUUUCAGACUUAAUUAUUUGCAUGUUGCAGUUGCAUCCUUCUCAGUAAGCUUACAUUCAGCAGCGUGUCAGAAAAAAAGAUUUGCAUAUUUGGACUUCAUUGAAUAACAUACCUGUUUGAGGAGUCUCAGUGCCUUCAGAACCAUGUAUUGGUUACUAUCCAGCAUAAUCUAAAUAAAACAAGUCCCACAACACA
rnacentral:lncRNA from 1 species